rnacentral:rRNA from 1 species
GCGGUGGAGCAUGUGGUUUAAUUCGAAGCAACGCGCAGAACCUUACCAGCCUUUGACAUGGCAGGACGAUUUUCAGAGAUGGAUCUCUUCCAGCAAUGGACCUGCACACAGGUGCUGCAUGGCUGUCGUCAGCUCGUGUCGUGAGAUGUUGGGUUAAGUCCCGCAACGAGCGCAACCCUCGCCUUUAGUUGCCAUCAUUCAGUUGGGCACUCUAAAGGGACUGCCGGUGAUAAGCCGCGAGGAAGGUGGGGAUGACGUCAAGUCCUCAUGGCCCUUACGGGCUGGGCUACACACGUGCUACAAUGGCGGUGACAGUGGGAUGCAAAGGGGCGACCCCUCGCAAAUCUCAAAAAGCCGUCUCAGUUCGGAUUGUACUCUGCAACUCGAGUGCAUGAAGUUGGAAUCGCUAGUAAUCGUGGAUCAGCAUGCCACGGUGAAUACGUUCCCGGGCCUU